UGGGUCUGUAGCUCAGAUGGAAGAGCGCACUCCUGAUAAGGGUGAGGUCGGUAGUUCAAUUCUGCCCAGACCCAA
rnacentral:tRNA from 1 species